rnacentral:rRNA from 1 species
AGCAGUCGCCGCGGUAAUACGUAGGUGGCAAGCGUUGUCCGGAAUUAUUGGGCGUAAAGGGCUCGCAGGCGGUUUCUUAAGUCUGAUGUGAAAGCCCCCGGCUCAACCGGGGAGGGUCAUUGGAAACUGGGAAACUUGAGUGCAGAAGAGGAGAGUGGAAUUCCACGUGUAGCGGUGAAAUGCGUAGAGAUGUGGAGGAACACCAGUGGCGAAGGCGACUCUCUGGUCUGUGACUGACGCUGAGGAGCGAAAGCGUGGGGAGCGAACAGGAUUAGAUACCCGCGUAGUCCCUGUCUCUUAUAC